rnacentral:snoRNA from 1 species
GUGCACAUUUCAUUGACCUGCUUUCUUUUUGUAUAUGUGAACAGUGUUAUUUCUUAUGUGUUAUAUAAAUAGUUGAAGGUUAAUUAGCAGUAUGACUGUGAAUAGUAAUGCUGCAAGUCUCCUUCAGACAAAA